ACGAUUCCCCCAAAAUCUCAAACACCUCUCUCUCUGUUCAUCAACCUAGAACCCACCGGCGAACUCUGUCGACCAGCUCCGGUAAAGGACGAUUAUUUCCGGUGAGGGACGACCAUUAUCGGCUAACAUACCACAAUCUCUGAGGUUUUGAUUUUGUGUUAGAAACCAUGAGAUUUGAUGUUUGCUAUCGAUGUUCGAUAUUCGAUGUUCAAUGUUCGAUGUUUUGUCGACAAUUGCUAUUCAUGAAGACAUCAGAACUGGAAAGGAAUGGCCAUGGAAAAUCCUGUAGCAAUAUGAUUGAACCUGUAAAACGUGUUUUGGAUGGAAUGUAGCCGGGAGCAGGGGCGGAGCCACCUUAGCUUAAGUGGUGUCAUCCGACACCACUUCGUUGGAAAAUUUACCUAUAUAUAUAUUUGAUUAGUAUACAAAAACGAACCAAAUAUGUUAAAAUUACAUUACUUGUCACAAAGGAAGGCGCAACUCUGAUGGUGAAGCGCCUAAACUUAUUCAGAAGUGUCGUGGGUUCGAACCAAAUAGUUACGCAUCUAUGUGCUUUUAACUUUUCAGCAUAUAGGGUCUAGGGAUAGUUUGUAUUUCACUUGCUACUACUUAUCUUGCAUAUUUUCUUCCUUUUUUUUGGCAA